UUUCCGUAGGUGAACCUGCGGAAGGAUCAUUAAAGUUAUAGUCCCCCGGCCCCUCCGGGCUGGGGUCUUCUAUACCACCCUUUGUUUAUUACACCUUUGUUGCUUUGGCAGGCCUGCCCUCGGGCUGCUGGCUCCGGCCGACUCGUGCCUGCCAGAGGACCUAAACUCUGUUUGUAUAUGAAGUCUGAGCACUAUAUAAUAGUUAAAACUUUCAACAACGGAUCUCUUGGUUCUG
rnacentral:misc_RNA from 1 species